rnacentral:rRNA from 1 species
AUGCCGCCGCCGCCGGUACCAUGGCUGCCAGACAGCCUCCUCGAGGAGGUCUUCCUCCGCCUGCCGCCAGAUGAGCCGGCGUGCCUCGUGCGCGCCUCCCUCGCCAAUAAGCUCUGGCUUGGCCUCCUCUCCGGCGCUCGAUUCCGCAGCCGCUACUGUGAGUUCCAUGGAGAUGCACCCAUGCUGGGAUUCCUUUAUAACACGCUGUCAGACUCUGGCUCGGCGCAGGAAGAUGACGUCCCACUCUUCUUCUCCACCACGAAAUUCGGCGCGCGCAUUCCCUUCAACCACUGGAAGGACUACACGGCGUGUGACUGUCGUCAUGGCCGUGCCCUCCUUUGUGAUGAGUAUGCGGGACACGAGGAGCUCGUCGUUUGGGACCCCGUGACGGGCUGCCGGACGGACCUGGACGCGCCCUACGAUGUGUUCGACAGCUAUGGGGCGGCGGUGCUCUGCGCCGUGAGCGGUUGUGACCAUCGAGCGUGUCACGAGGGCCCCUUCCAGGUGGCCUUCGUCGGCACGAAAGAUACUGAAGUUGGUUGUGUUAUACACUCGUUCGUGAGUAAUCCGUCGUCUUAUUCUCAUAGGAGUAAUUGUGAUGAGGAUGAGUGGGUCGAGACAUGCAAUCUUGAACUUGCAGGUCAGCAUGGAUGCAUUGUGCUAAUGCGCCCUGUCCUCGUCAACGGCGUACUCUACUUCAUGUUUUUCCUUAGUGGUGAAGAUGACAUAGCCAUUCUGUGCUACGACUUGGGCUCUCAAGCCUUAUCACUGAUUCAUCUACCGGACUUAGGCUCUAACGGCCUAUCACUGAGUGACGGCUCCUCUAUGCUCAUAGAGAAUGUGGAUGGCAGUCUGGGUUUUGCAUAUAUGCACAGGUUAAUCCUAUACCUGUGGUCAAGGCAAAUGAGUUCCGUCGGAGCUGCAUCAUGGACUCAACAUAGAGUCAUCGAUCUCAAGGAAAGUCUCCCCAUUCAAAACCCCGAGGAAGGACCUGACUUGAUGGGAUCUGUGGAGGGCAGGGACAUCAUUUUCGUGACCACAGACCUUGGUAUCUACCAGAUCAAUCUCAACACACUAAGAUGGAAGAAGAUAUGGAAGAGAGAAGAAUUCCCUACUCUGAUUCCGUACAUGAGUUUCUACAACCCACGAGUGGUACCUGUCACCCUAAAAAAGGUUAGUGCUGAUGUUACUGUAGUUGUUGUUUUAGCAAGCAAUGUUACUGAAGAGCAUAGCAUGGAAACUGAAUCUUUAGCCAUAUGUUUAGCGAAGUACAGGAUAUGCAAACUACAUGUCUGCUUGAUGAUCUCAUAUUCUCAUACAUGUUUUCAUUGCUUCAGCAGGUCCAGAAAACUGCCAGUGAUCUGCAAUUCAGCGUCGGAGGCAGGUGCCACUGGGCAGCAAGAUCAACUGCGAAGAGCAACAAUGGAUGUUGAUGAUCAAUUGCCAUGA